AAAAGUUAUUUGACUUCUUUGUACAUAAAAAGUGACUUUCAACCCAUGGAAUGGGGUUAUCGCCUAUUGUAGAGAGGAGCUUUGAAAAUUGCUGAGGAUUUGGUGCUGCCCAUUGAUGAGAGUCUCUUGUCUAUUGCAGUUUCAAGGAGGGAAAAAAAGCUUCAGCCUAAGGUGAAGAAAAGACAUAAUUAAAGAGGAAGAUUAUUGUCUAUCGAGUUGAAGACACCUUUGGUUGAAGGUAAAACUGUUGUGACAUGUAGAAGUUAGACACACAACAUUAAAUAUGCAAGCUUAAGGCAAUGAAAAGUUGAAAUUGAGGUAAAGCUCUUGAUAUGAAAUUAAUAAUGUUGACGACACGAAGAUUUUUUAAAGGAAGAAGCAAGUUACACGCAAGAAGAAGAUUUGAAGGGUUCAGAUUAUUAUAUUUAUGACUAAAAAUCUUACUUAAUUUAGAAAAUCCUUUCCUAAUUUGAGUGGGAGAA
rnacentral:misc_RNA from 1 species